rnacentral:lncRNA from 1 species
UUUCCCCGGCCGCGUGUUUACGUGGAGAUGAAGAUGGCGGCGCCGGGGGCCCCUGCGCGGCCUGCUGCCGUCGCCGUGAGGCGGGUUGGGGACGGGACGGGACGGCGCAGGCAGGCUGCGUGCCCUGGCUGAGGGCGGAGCGGGCCCGCCUCCCGCCGCCGGUAACGCGCCGCUGUCCCCUGCACGGGCGCCAUGGAGGACGAGGAGCGGCUGAAGAAGCUGGAGGCUGGGAAAGCCAAGGGCUGUGAGAUACCGACUUCAUACAGUCCAAAGAACAGUGGAGUAGCUCUGCGGAAAGCAACUCAUGCUUUUAGAGUAUCCAAAUCUUCGUUUUAAAAUUCAUUUUCAAGGGUUGGUAUCCAAUCCUCUCUGAUGGGUCCAGAUUUUCAAAACACUGCCAUGAGGUGUGAAUGCAUGCUGAAGGCACGGUAUAGGCAAGACAGUGAAGUUUUCAAGUUUGUCUUCAAAAAGUUCGUGAGAAAAUUAUAUGACUCAUGUUGGAGACAAGCAGUGUAACAAAGUGAGCAAUAAAAGCUUUUUUCUUGU